AACCAGACUCCUACGGGAGGCAGCAGUGGGGAAUAUUGCACAAUGGGGGAAACCCUGAUGCAGCGACGCCGCGUGAGUGAAGAAGUAUUUCGGUAUGUAAAGCUCUAUCAGCAGGGAAGAAAAUGACGGUACCUGACUAAGAAGCCCCGGCUAACUACGUGCCAGCAGCCGCGGUAAUACGUAGGGGGCAAGCGUUAUCCGGAUUUACUGGGUGUAAAGGGAGCGUAGACGGCAUGGCAAGUCAGAUGUGAAAGCCCGGGGCUCAACCCCGGGACUGCAUUUGAAACUGUCAGGCUGGAGUGCAGGAGAGGUAAGUGGAAUUCCUAGUGUAGCGGUGAAAUGCGUAGAUAUUAGGAGGAACACCAGUGGCGAAGGCGGCCUGCUGGACGAUGACUGACGUUGAGGCUCGAAAGCGUGGGGAGCAAACAGGAUUAGAUACCCGAGUA
rnacentral:rRNA from 1 species